rnacentral:rRNA from 1 species
ACAUGCCUACAACAUAGCGUUAAUGCACAGGAUCCCAUUAGAACUCCGUAGUUAAGCACGCUCAGGCUAGAGUAGUACUGGGAUGGGUGACAACUCGAGAAGUCCUAGUGUUUUACAUGCC